rfam:Candidate division WWE3 bacterium RIFOXYA2_FTLL_46_9 rifoxya2_full_scaffold_630, whole genome shotgun sequence.
UCCCUUGCCGGGUAAGUUCCGGCCUGCACGAAAGGCGUAACGACUUGAGCACUCUCUUAAUCACGAACUCGGUGAAAUUGAACUACCGGUGAAGAUGCCGGUUACUCGUUGUUGGACAAAUAGACCCCAUGGAGCUUUACUGUAGCUUGGUACUGAUAAUUGGUUUGAGCUGUGUAGCAUAGGAGGGAGAUUUCCCCGCUAACGCUGGGAAGUCACCAGUGAAAUACCUCUCUUCUUACACUGAGAAUCUUACUAUCCGCCGUGAUCCGGCGGGAGGACAAUGCCUGGUGGGCAGUUUAUCUGGGGCGGAUUCCUGCUAAAAGGUAACGCAGGAGCCCAAAGGUUCACUUAGCACCGAUGGAAAUGGUGCUGUAAGCGUAAAGGUAAAUGUGAGCUUGACUGCGAGACAUACAAGUCGAGCAGAUGCGAAAGCAGGGCUUAGUGAUCUUCCGUGUGCCUAGUGGUAGGCCCGGAACUUAACGGAUAAAAGUUACCCUGGGGAUAACAGGCUGAUAGUGCCCGAGCGUUCACAGCGGCGGCACUGUUUGGCACCUCGAUGUCGUCUCGUCUCAACCUGGGGCUGAAGCAGGUCCCAAGGGUCCGGCUGUUCGCCGGUUAAAGAGGCGCGUUAGAUGGGUUCAGAACGUCGUGAGACAGUUCGGUCUCUUUCCACAACGAGCGCAAGACUUUGAAAGGACUCAUUCCUAGUACGAGAGGACCGGAAUGAUUAAACCUCUAGUGUACCAGUUGUCCUACCAAGGGCAUCGCUGGGUAGCUACGUUUAAACAAGAUAACCGCUGAAAGCAUCUAAGCGGGAAACUUACCUUAAGAUUAAAGUCUGUUCCGCGCAAGCGGACACAAAUCCUAGGAGAAUACUAGGUUGAUAGGCCGUAGGUGUAAGUACAGCAAUGUAUUCAGCCGAGCGGUACUAAUAUUUGUGAAACUUUUUUUA